AAGAAUUUAUUUUAAAUCAUGCAUCAAAUCUAAUAAAAUUGCUUUCUACUUUUCCUAUAUUAUUUCCUUGUCACAUCAACCACCUACUACACUAUUUACUUGUAACAUCCAUCCCAUUUUCCAUCAUUCAUUUUCAACACUCCUCUCAUCUUUUCUUAUUAUAUGUACACAGGUGAGGAAGAAAAGAAAAAAAAAAAGGAAGAGGGGAAGAUAGAUCUAGAAAAAGAGAGAAAAAACAAGAGAGCUAGGGGGGAAGAGGGAACGGACAGAUAGUGAGAGAAAAGAGGGGAAUUGAGAGCCAGAAACAGAGAGGGUAAUAUAGUAAAGAACAGAGGACGGAGUCCAAAUCCUUGAUUUUCCAAGUCCAGAUUAAAAAAAAUUAAACCAAAAAAUAUUUUUCCAUUUUAUUAUUGAAAUAGUUUGAGAUUCAGAGUUAGAGUUUGAUUUUUUUUAUCGAAGUUCAUUGCUUGAGCUCGUUUGGAGUUGCAGUCCGUGUUUAGUUUGGAGAUCCGUUGAGGAUCGAAAUUUUAUUUUAGCUGCUGAUUUGGGGUAUAGUUUGAGGUUAAUUCCGUGGUUCGCGGUCCGAGCUCCUGCUGCAGUUUCAUUUUUCGGUCGGAUUUAGUUUGCCGUAGUUUGCUGUAACCGAGUUCUUGUUAAUCACCCGGCUAAAAGUAUUUUCGUUAAUCCAAGUUCAGAGAUUGUUUUAGCUCCACUUGAGAUACUAUGAAAUAUGCACAUCACGCAAAAGGCGCAUACCCAGUUGCGAUUCUCUUUGACAAACAAACUACUCAAAAAGCAAGAAGUCAUUCAAGAUAUCAGAAAAGGUCACCUAAGUAAAGAUCUCCAGUUGGGAUAAGGCUGAUUGACCCACAAACACAAUCAGGGUUGGUACAGAGAGCAAAAGUCUCUUGAAAGCAACAACAAAGUCUACCAGCAAUAUAGCCAACUACCAAUACAGUCAGUCUUCCUGAAGUGAAUGGGCACAAAGCCAAGCUGCCAAAGACAUCAAGGGCACAAACUGACCACCACUUUUAAAACUCACAAAUUUUCUUUGUUUGAAACAGAAACAAACCAGUGUAGGAUGGCGAUCCUUAAAGGACGAAUAUCACCAAAGGUUUUACCUCGAGGCACAUGGUUCGAGAUGACCAAAAAAA